rnacentral:tRNA from 1 species
UAUAUUUUGGUGUAUGAUGCACGGGAAUUUUUGAUGUUUCAGGAGUAGUUUAAUUCUAUUAAAUGUAA